rnacentral:rRNA from 1 species
AGUGAACGCUGGCGGUAGGCCUAACACAUGCAAGUCGAACGGCAGCACAGUAAGAGCUUGCUCUUACGGGUGGCGAGUGGCGGACGGGUGAGGAAUACAUCGGAAUCUACUUUUUCGUGGGGGAUAACGUAGGGAAACUUACGCUAAUACCGCAUACGCCCUACGGGUGAAAGCAGGGGAUCUUCGGACCUUGCACGAUUGAAUGAGCCGAUGUCGGAUUAGCUAGUUGGCGGGGUAAAGGCCCACCAAGGCGACGAUCCGUAGCUGGUCUGAGAGGAUGAUCAGCCACACUGGAACUGAGACACGGUCCAGACUCCUACGGGAGGCAGCAGUGGGGAAUAUUGGACAAUGGGCGCAAGCCUGAUCCAGCCAUACCGCGUGGGUGAAGAAGGCCUUCGGGUUGUAAAGCCCUUUUGUUGGGAAAGAAAAGCAGCAGGUUAAUACCCCGCUGUUCUGACGGUACCCAAAGAAUAAGCACCGGCUAACUUCGUG